CCUACGGGUGGCAGCAGUGAGGAAUAUUGGUCAAUGGGCGCGAGCCUGAACCAGCCAAGCAGCGUGAAGGAUGACUGUCCUACGGGUUGUCAACUUCUUUUAUAAAGGAAUAAAGUGAGGCACGUGUGCCUUUUUGUAUGUACUUUAUGAAUAAGGAUCGGCUAACUCCGUGCCAGCAGCCGCGGUAAUACGGAGGAUCCGCGCGUUAUCCGGAUUUAUUGGGGUUCAAGGGUGCUGAGGUGGGUUGGUAAGUCAGUUGUGAAAGUUUGCGGCUCAACCGUAAGAUUGCAAUUGAUACUGGCAGCCUUGAGUACAGGUGAGGUAGGCGGAAUUCGUGGUGUAGCGGUGAAAUGCUUAGAUAUCACGAAGAACGCCGAUUGCGAAGGCAGCUUACUACACUGCCACUGACAUUGAGGCUCGAAAGUGUGGGUAUCAAACAGGAUUAGAUACCCCAGUAGUC
rnacentral:rRNA from 1 species